GUAGUCCAUUAGAUGAUCGCCCCGUCUCGAUUAUGAAUCGAUUACGGAGAGGAAAGUCCGGGCAACUUAGGACACGACAGUCGCUAACGGCGACCGGAGGUGACUCCAGGGAAAGUGCCACAGAAACAAGAAACUACCAUGGGGAAAAUAUUCUCCCAUUGGAAAAGGUGAAACGAGUGGGGUAAAAGCCCACAGCAAAUCAUGGUGACAUGAUUUGGAGGUAAACCCUGUCGGUUGCAAGGAGGCUCACAAAAAGAAUGGUCCGUUCUGAGCCGAUAACCCGCUUGACUUGAUGGGCAACCGUCGAGCUAGAUAGAUGAUCAUCCACGACAGAACCCGGCUUAUCGAUGGACUACCAAU
rnacentral:RNase_P_RNA from 1 species